rnacentral:rRNA from 1 species
UACAGAGGGGGCAAGCGUUGUUCGGAAUUACUGGGCGUAAAGGGCGCGUAGGCGGCCUUCUAAGUCGGAUGUGAAAUCCCUCGGCUCAACCGAGGAACUGCAUCCGAUACUGGCGGGCUUGAAUCCGGGAGAGGGAUGCGGAAUUCCAGGUGUAGCGGUGAAAUGCGUAGAUAUCGGGAGGAACACCGGUGGCGAAGGCGGCGACCUGGGUCGAUACUGACGCUGAGGUGCGAAAGCGUGGGGAGCAAACAGG